rnacentral:rRNA from 1 species
UACGUAGGGUGCAAGCGUUAAUCGGAAUUACUGGGCGUAAAGCGUGCGCAGGCGGUUAUGUAAGACAGUUGUGAAAUCCCCGGGCUCAACCUGGGAACUGCAUCUGUGACUGCAUAGCUAGAGUACGGUAGAGGGGGGAUGGAAUUCCGCGUGUAGCAGUGAAAUGCGUAGAUAUGCGGAGGAACACCGAUGGCGAAGGCGGCGUCCUGGACCAACACUGACACUGAUGAGCGAAAGCCAGGGGAGCAAACGGG